GUUCUAGCUCCUGUCGCGCGACUCCCAGCCACUCGGCGCCCGGACGCACCUUCCCCGGUGUCCGGACGCGAGGUGGAUGGGGAUCGGACGACAGGAACGGAGCAGCGG
rfam:Rathayibacter sp. VKM Ac-2596 ACH61_contig000023, whole genome shotgun sequence.